rnacentral:rRNA from 1 species
UACGUAGGUGGCAAGCGUUACUCGGAAUUACUAGGCGUAAAGCGCGUGUAGAUGGUUUGAUAAGUCGGAUGUGAAAGCUCCUGGCUCAACUGGGAGAGGUCAUUCGAUACUAUCAGGCUUGAGAAUGGGAGGGGAAUUCGGAAUUCCUGGUGUAGCGGUGAAAUGCGUAGAUAUCAGGAGGAAUACCAAUGGCGAAGGCAGAAUUCUGGCCCAUUUCUGACAUUGAGACGCGACAGCUAGGGGAGCAAACAGGAUUAGAUACCCCAGUA